GGCCAUAUGAGCAGAAGCUGCACUUCUCAAAGCAAGGACAACUCUUCUUCGAGAUCAAGGGAAGGGAAAUCCAAAUACGGGCCAUGGUUACAUGCUUCUCCAGUUAACAAUGUUAGUUCACCCUUGAUCUCAGAGGUGACGAUUAAUCCCAAAUCCAUAGAAAAUCAAACCUUAGCUUCUGUCCCCUUUAAUUUGGAAAUUUCUAACCUGCAAGAUCAUUAAUCAGAGGUUCCUUCAUCGCAAGCAAAUC
rnacentral:lncRNA from 1 species